rnacentral:rRNA from 1 species
GCGAGCGUUGUUCGGAAUUACUGGGCGUAAAGGGCGCGCAGGCGGCUCUGAAAGUCAGAUGUGAAAGCCCCGGGCUUAACCUGGGAAUUGCAUUUGAUACUCUGGAGCUUGAGUACGGGAGAGGAGAGUGGAAUUCCCAGUGUAGAGGUGAAAUUCGUAGAUAUUGGGAGGAACACCGGUGGCGAAGGCGGCUCUCUGGACCGUAACUGACGCUGAGGUGCGAAAGCGUGGGGAGCAAACAGG